rnacentral:rRNA from 1 species
GAUCCUGGCUCAGAUUGAACGCUGGCGGCAGGCUUAACACAUGCAAGUCGAACGGUAGCAGGUAAGUACUUGUACUUAUGCUGACGAGUGGCGGACGGGUGAGUAAUGCUUGGGGGAUCUGGCUUAUGGAGGGGGGAUAACGACGGGAAACUGUCGCUAAUACCGCGUAGAAUCGAGAGAUGAAAGUGUGGGACCUUCGGGCCACAUGCCAUAGGAUGAACCCAAGUGGGAUUAGGUAGUUGGUAGGGUAA